rnacentral:rRNA from 1 species
AGCAGCCGCGGUAAUUCCAGCUCCAAUAGCGUGUAUUAAAGUUGUUGCAGUUAAAAAGCUCGUAGUUGAAUUUCGGGAUCAGUAUGUUGGUCGUGCUUCGGUACGUACUGUCAUUACUGGUUUCUACCUUCUGAAGAACCUUGAUGUCAUUAAUUUGGUGUCUUGGGGAAUCAGGACUGUUACUUUGAAAAAAU